rnacentral:rRNA from 1 species
CAGUCGAACGGAGGCCCGAAGCUUGCUUCGGAUACCUUAGUGGCGAACGGGUGAGUAACACGUGGGAAUCUACCUAGAAAUGGGGAAUAACUAUUGGAAACGAUAGCUAAUACCGCAUAAUCCCUUCGGGGCAAAGGCUUCGGCCGUUUUUAGAUGAGCCCGCGCUAGAUUAGGUUGUUGGUAGGGUAAAAGCCUACCAAGCCUACUAUCUAUAGCUGGUCUGAGAGGAUGAUCAGCCACACUGGGACUGAGACACGGCCCAGACUCCUACGGGAGGCAGCAGUGGGGAAUAUUGGACAAUGGGGGAAACCCUGAUCCAGCAAUGCCGCGUGAGUGAAGAAGGCCUUAGGGUUGUAAAACUCUUUCAGAAGUGAAGAUGAUGACUGUAACUUCAGAAGAAGCUCCGGCUAACUCCGUGCCAGCAGCCGCGGUAAUACGGAGGGAGCUAGCGUUGUUCGGAAUUACUGGGCGUAAAGGGCGCGUAGGCGGUAUGAUUAGUCAGAGGUGAAAUCCCUAAGCUUAACUUAGGAACUGCCUUUGAUACUGUCAUACUAGAGAUCGAGAGAGGUGAGUGGAAUUCCAAGUGUAGAGGUGAAAUUCGUAGAUAUUU